rnacentral:tRNA from 1 species
GGUCUGUAGCUCAGUGGUAGAGCACCUGCCUCCCAUGUAUGAGGCACUGGGUUCAAUCCUUAGCACCA